rnacentral:rRNA from 1 species
ACGCUCGACACCUACGGAGGCAGCAGUGGGGAAUAUUGCACAAUGGGGGAAACCCUGAUGCAGCGACGCCGCGUGAAGGAAGAAGUAUCUCGGUAUGUAAACUUCUAUCAGCAGGGAAGAAAGUGACGGUACCUGACUAAGAAGCCCCGGCUAACUACGUGCCAGCAGCCGAGGUAAUCUGAGCGGGCUGGCAAGGC